UUGAAGAGUUGCAACUGGCGAUGAGGUGGGACACCACCGGGGAGCAGCACGAACGAAGACCUCCGCGAUCGUACGCCUGGGACGCGAGG
rnacentral:ncRNA from 2 species